UACGUAGGGUGCGAGCGUUAAUCGGAAUUACUGGGCGUAAAGCGUGCGCAGGCGGUUGUGCAAGACAGAUGUGAAAUCCCCGGGCUUAACCUGGGAACUGCAUUUGUGACUGCACGGCUAGAGUACGGCAGAGGGGGAUGGAAUUCCGCGUGUAGCAGUGAAAUGCGUAGAUAUGCGGAGGAACACCAAUGGCGAAGGCAGUCCCCUGGGCCUGUACUGACGCUCAUGCACGAAAGCGUGGGGAGCAAACAGG
rnacentral:rRNA from 1 species